rnacentral:lncRNA from 1 species
CUCUUGUUGCCUUGUGAGGAAGGUAUGUGUUUCUCCUUCGCCUUCUGCCAUGCGUGUAAGUUUCCUGAGGCCUCCCCAACCAUGUGGAACUCUCCUACAGCAAAAGAAGUACUAAGAGGAAAGUUUAUAGUGAUAAGCACCUACAUAACAAAAAACUUCAAAUAAACAACCUAAUGAGGCAUCUUAAGGAAUGAGAAAAGAGCAAACUGAAUACAAAAUUAGUAGAAGAAAAGAAAUAAUAAAGUUCACAGCAAAAAUAAAUGAAGAAAACAAUACAAAAGAUCAAUAAAAUAAAAAUUUGUUUUUUUGAACAGAUGAACAACAUUGACAAACCUUCAGGCAGACUAAGAAAAAAAAGAGCAAAAAACCCAAAUAAAUAAAAUUAGAGAUGAAAGAGGAGACAUUGCAGCUGAUUUCACAGAAAUUCAAAGUAUCAUUACAGGCUGCUAUGAACAACUAUAUGCCAAUAAAUGGGAAAACCUGGAAGAAAUGGAUAAAUUUCUAGAAAAAUACAACCUACCAAGAUUGAACCAUGAAGAAAU